rnacentral:rRNA from 1 species
UGGGGAAUUUUGGACAAUGGGCGCAAGCCUGAUCCAGCCAUGCCGCGCGCGGGAAGAAGGCCUUCGGGUUGUAAACCGCUUUUGUCAGGGAAGAAAUCUUCUGAGUUAAUACCUCGGGAGGAUGACGGUACCUGAAGAAUAAGCACCGGCUAACUACGUGCCAGCAGCCGCGGUAAUACGUAGGGUGCAAGCGUUAAUCGGAAUUACUGGGCGUAAAGCGUGCGCAGGCGGUUUUGUAAGACAGAGGUGAAAUCCCCGGGCUCAACCUGGGAACUGCCUUUGUGACUGCAAGGCUUGAGUGCGGCAGAGGGGGAUGGAAUUCCGCGUGUAGCAGUGAAAUGCGUAGAUAUGCGGAGGAACACCGAUGGCGAAGGCAAUCCCCUGGGCCUGCACUGACGCUCAUGCACGAAAGCGUGGGGAGCAAACAGGAUUAGAUACCCUGGUAGUCCACGCCCUAAACGAUGUCAACUGGUUGUUGGGAAGGUUCCUUCUCAGUAACGUAGCUAACGCGUGAAGUUGACCGCCUGGGGAGUACGGCCGCAAGGUUGAAACUCAAAUGAAUUGACGGGGUCAUAGCUGUUUCCUG